GACGAACGCUGGCGGCGUGCCUAAUACAUGCAAGUUGAGCGAUGAAGAUUGGUGCUUGCACCAAUUUGAAGAGCAGCGAACGGGUGAGUAACGCGUGGGGAAUCUGCCUUUGAGCGGGGGACAACAUUUGGAAACGAAUGCUAAUACCGCAUAACAACUUUAAACAUAAGUUUUAAGUUUGAAAGAUGCAAUUGCAUCACUCAAAGAUGAUCCCGCGUUGUAUUAGCUAGUUGGUGAGGUAAAGGCUCACCAAGGCGAUGAUACAUAGCCGACCUGAGAGGGUGAUCGGCCACAUUGGGACUGAGACACGGCCCAAACUCCUACGGGAGGCAGCAGUAGGGAAUCUUCGGCAAUAGACGAAAGUCUGACCGAGCAACGCCGCGUGAGGGGAGAAGGUUUUCGGAUCGUAAAACUCUGUUGGUAGAGAAGAACGUUGGUGAGAGUGGAAAGCUCAUCAAGUGACGGUAACUACCCAGAAAGGGACGGCUAACUACGUG
rnacentral:rRNA from 1 species